GCUAAAAACCUAGCCCAAACCUCCUCCUACAUACCCAAUUACCCAUUAAAAUAUUUUAACAUUUGAGUAGGGACGACCGAAAAACUUUCAAGAGCUAUAAUAAAGUACCGCAAGGGAAAGAUGAAAUAAUAAUGAAACACCACAAAAGCACAAAAAAGUAAAGUUUAUAGCUUGUACCUUUUGCAUCAUGGUUUAACUAGUUUAACUAAGCAAAAAGAUUUUUAGUUUAACCCCCCGAAACCGAAUGAGCUACUUCAAGGCAACCUACUGAGCUAACCCGUCCCUGUUGCAAAAGGGUGGGAUGACCUUGUAAUAGCGGUGAUAAACCUAACGAAUUCGGUGAUAGCUGGUUACUCAGGAAAAGAAUCUUAGUCCAACCUAAAGUUAUCAAAUAAAAUAUACUACUGCUUUAGAGUAACUCAAAUAAGGUACAGCCUAUUUGACACAGGACACAACCUCAAACAAUGGCUAACUCACAACACAUUUAAACUAAGUAGGCCUAAGAGCAGCCACCCUNAAAGAGCGUCAAAGCCUAAUUUUCCUUAUACUUAAUCCCACAACUCACAAAGAACCCUUCACCACUACUGAGUACUUCUAUACCACUAUAGAAAUUUUUAUGUUAAAACUAGUAACAAGAAGACACUUCUCUUCUAAUGCAAGCGUAAAUCAGAAUGGACCUCCCCACUGAUACUUAUUCACCCUAACAGCAAACCCAUACUCUCGAAAAACCUGCCACUAUUAAUCGUCAACCUAACACAAGAGCAUUUCAAGAAAGAUUUAUCAAAAAAGAAGGAACUCGGCAAAUAUUGAUUCCGCCUGUUUACCAAAAACAUCGCCUCCUGAACAAACAUAGGAGGUCCGACCUGCCCAGUGAUAUCAAUUCAACGGCCGCGGUAUACUGACCGCGCUAAGGUAGCGCAAUCACUUGUCUCUUAAAUCGAGACUAGUAUGAAAGGACCCACGAGAGUCUAACUGUCUCCUUUUUUUAAUCAGUGAAACUAAUCUCCCCGUGAAAAAGCGGGGAUCAUAAUAUAAGACGAGAAGACCCUAUGGAGCUUAAGAUAAAACAAUACUUCUUUUUUACCCCCCCCCAUUUUCAGAAAAAAUACCCCCACAAAGCACUUUAUUGUUAAACUUCGGUUGGGGCGACCGCGGAGUAAAACCAACCCUCCACGCAAGUGGAAAUCCCCUCCACAACAAAGAGCCACAACUCUAUGAACCAAAUAUUGUUAAUUGACCCAAUGCUUGAUCAACGAAACAAGUUACCCUAGGGAUAACAGCGCAAUCUACUUUAAGAGCCCCUAUUGACAAGUAGGUUUACGACCUCGAUGUUGGAUCAGGGUAUCCCAGUGGUGCAACCGCUACUAAAGGUUUG
rnacentral:rRNA from 1 species